GCCGAGGUGGCGGAAAUGGCAGACGCGCAAGGUUGAGGGCCUUGUGUUCAAUUACGAACGUGGGGGUUCAAGUCCCCCCCUCGGCACCA
rnacentral:tRNA from 4 species